AAUUCAGCAUUUGCAGUAAAUGUAUAGAAUAUGACUUCACCAGUAUCGAGACUGACUGAUUUCUCACGUUCCCGUGGCCUCCCGUUAGAACUGCAUGGUGAUGGCCGACCAGAACCAGGUGUGGGUUGGCUCGGAAGACUCCGUCAUCUACAUCAUCAACGUCCACAGCAUGUCCUGCAACAAGCAGCUCACAGACCACUGCUCCAGUGUCACGGAUUUGAUUGUGCAGGAAGGACAGAAGGCACCCAGCGAGGUGUACUCGUGCAGCAUGGACGGCACGGUGCUGGCGUGGAAUGUGAGCACGCUGCAGGUGACCAGCCGCUUCCAGCUGCCGAGAGGUGGCCUCACGUCCAUCAGACUGCACGGCGGCCGCCUGUGGUGCUGUAAGUCCGGCCCCUGCCAUCAGAGCGGGCACCCUACCUCCCUGCUCUGGGAAAAGGAUGAAUGAGAGCAGAAAGCCUCUUUCCUUUGCUUCAUGCCUUUCCGGUCUUUAUUUUAAACUCGGGUUCCCUUUCUGUGGUCGCAGCAACCUUUACUCCACCUGCACUGCUGCUCCUGGGGGCUCCCCAGGCCUCCCUCUGCUUUUC
rnacentral:sRNA from 1 species